rnacentral:lncRNA from 1 species
GCUGGUUUUAUGAUAGGUCUACCCAGGAAGAGCUGUUUAUAUGAUAUGUCUUCCCAGGAAGAGCUGUUUAUAUGAUAGGUCUAAACAGGAAGAGCUGGUUUUAUGAUAGGUCUAACCAGGAAGAGCUGUUUAUAUGAUAGGUCUAAACAGGAAGAGCUGGUUUUAUGUUAGGUCUAACCAGGAAGUGCUGUUUAUAUGAUAGGUCUAACCAGGAAGUGCUGUUUAUAGUGCAUAGAGAGAACAUUGGAACAGUAAAUCUUUGGUAACCAUAGCGCUGCCAUCGUCACCAUGUUUACUUUGUGAGUCACUGCCCAUUCCCAGAGGUUUCAUCAGUUCAGUUGACACAACAUCCCGUCGUCCCUCACUUGUAUCAAUAUCGUUCCUAUCUGACAGCGAACGUCAUUCAGAAACGUUAACCGUGUGUAGAGGUUGUGUAAACGGUAAAGUUUAUCUAGCUAUUGUGUGUCAGUUUACACGGAGGUGAGGGUGGUCGAUCCUACAGAGUUAAACAGCAGACCGUUAUCUUUUAAUAACGUGUUAGUUAGACUAACCCAGAGUCACAGGGAAAGGAAGCAGUGUUGGUUGUGGUGUUGUAGGGACAUGCUUGUUUUUGCACCAACUGUUCAACUAACUUAGUGUGUGUGUGUGUGUGUGUGUGUGUGUGUGUGUGUGUGUGUGUGUGUGUGUGUGUGUGUGUGUGUGUGUGUGUGUGUGUGUGUGUGUGUGUGUGUGUGUGUGUGUGUGUGUGUGUGUGUGUGUGUGCACACGAACACUUGUGUAUAUGUGUAGAGGUCGGCAGGGGGCCACACGACUAACCGUUGCCCAUGUCCAUGAGCACUGCAGCCAUUCCACUACCAUAAACUCACAUAACAUUGUAGUGACUAUACAGGUGAGUAUGGAAUGCUCUAAGAAUGCUCUAAGAAUGCUCUAAGAAUGCUCAACUGGAAUGCUGUAAGAGUAGAGUUAGACUGGGGAAAUGGCUCCAUGUCAGAGUAGGGUUAGACUGGGGAAAUGGCUCCAUGUCAUUGCAGGGAGAAUACUGAGUAAUUGGGAUAAUGUGAUUUACCUGGAGAGAAGAGUGUAGAGAGACUGAGUGCCUGUGAGUUCCUAUUUCACAGUCUGUUAUCUAAACCCAGCUACCUUAUAAACCAAGCCCGUCAUUCCUCCUGUCCUGGCUGAAAUAUAUUACCACUGAUUGGUUUGGUAAUGGACUAUUUAUCAGUCUGGAUGGGUGAGACUUUACUCUAGAUGUCUGUCUGUCUGUCUGUCUGUCUGUCUGUCUGUCUGUCUGUCUGUCUGUCUGUCUGUCUGUCUGUCUGUCUGUCUGUCUGUCUGUCUGUCU